CUGUCCUGAAACUCACUCUGUAGACCAGGCUAGCCUCUUCAUUGUCCCCCAGGCUGAGGAAGUGUCACUUGGAGCCUGCAGCUGGCAGAGAGAUAGCCUCUGUUCUCUGCAACAACUCACACCUCAUGGAGCUGGACCUGACCGGAAACCCCCUGGAGGACCUGGGACUGAAGCUGUUGUGUCCAGGACUGAGGCACCCGGCCUGCAGGCUGCACACCUUGUGGCGCCAACGUGACAACCUGAGCUGGGCUCAGACGCAUGCACAGGGAUCGCCCGUGUGCUCCAAGUCAACUCUUGCCUCCGAGAACUGGACCUGAGCUUCAACGACUUGGGAGACAGGGGGCUGUGGCUGCUGGGGGAAGGCCUGCGGCACCCAGCCUGCAGACUCCGGAAGCUGUGGCUGGACAGCUGUGGCCUCACAUCCAAAGCAGCUGAGGACCUUUCUUCCAUCCUGGGAACCAACCAGACCCUAACUGAGCUUUAUGUGACCAACAAUGCUCUGGGGGACACAGGUGUCCGGAUGCUUUGUGGAGGCUGAGACAUCCAAGCUGCAAACUGCGAGUCCUGUGGUGAGAGAUGGACCCUGAUUUCUUGGGGACAAUGGGGGAUUCCCGAAAGCUGGACUCAGAUGUGGGGGUAGGAAUUCUAAAUGAUUGAGAUGCAUUAAACACUGGAUAAGUAAUGCUGGAGAGAUAGAUCAACAGUUAAAAGCACUUGGUGAUCUCACAGGGGACCUGCGUUCAAUUCCCAGCACCCAUGUCAGGUGACAACGUUCACCCACAAUUCUAGCUCUAACUCCCUUUUCUAGUUUUCAUUGUCAUGCCCCCACCUCACACCCACAUGGACACACAGAAAUGAAAAUAAUAAAAAUUUAAUGCACCG